rnacentral:misc_RNA from 1 species
GAUGAAGAACGUAGCGAAAUGCGAUAAGUAAUGUGAAUUGCAGAAUUCAGUGAAUCAUCGAAUCUUUGAACGCACCUUGCGCCCUUUGGCCAUUCCGAAGGGCAUGCCUGUUUGAGUAUCAUGAACACCUCAACUCUUUAUGGGUUUCCAUGAUGAGCUUGGACUCUGGGGGUUUUGCUGGCUCACAGUCGGCUCCUCUAAAAUGAAUCAGCUUACCAGUGUUUGGUGGGUAUCAUGGGUGUGAUAACUAUCUACGCUUGUGGUUUUUCCACCAGGUAACCUUCAGCAGUGGAGGUUCGCUGGAGCUCAUAGAUGUCUCUCCUCAGUGAGGACAGCCCUUUGAAUGUUUGAUCUCAAAUCAGGUAGGACUACCCGCUGAACUUAAGCAUAUCAAUAAGCGGAGGA